CCCAGCUGGUACUGCCAUGGUGACCUGAGUGGUGACAGGUGGCACCUCUGUGUCACCCCCCCCAGCUGGUACUGCCAUGGUGACCUGAGUGGUGACAGGUGGCACCUCUGUGUCACCCCCCCCAGCUGGUGCUGUGACAGAGCCCCGUAUGACCUGGGGGUGACAGGUGGCACCUGUGUGUCCCCCCCCUAGCCCAGGCUGUGCCCCCCCUGGCACAGCUGGCACAGGCGGUGGCUGUGCUGGUCAGUAAUUAACUGUGUCUCGUUAAUUGUGGGGAGAGAGAGCGGCUCCCGGAGCUUCCUCUGGGACCUGAUGGUGUUCCUGUGGGAUCUGCUGGGGCUUCCUGUGGGAUCUGCUGGGGCUUCCUGUGGGAUCUGCUGGAGGUUCUUGUUGGAUCUGCUGGAUGUUCCUGUGGGAUCUGCUGGAGGUUCUUGUUGGAUCUCCUGGAUGUUCUCGUGGGAUCUGCUGGAGGUUCCUGUGGGAUCUGCUGGAGGUUCCUGUGGGAUCUGCUGGAGGUUCCUGUGGGAUCUCAGGGUGUUCCCCUGGGAUCUGGUGGCCCUGGCUCCCUCCUGGACCCUUCUCCUGUUGCUUUUCUCCUCUGAGCAGUCUCAGCUGUCCCAGCCCUCCCUCAGCAGCACCCUGGGAUUCCCCCCGACCUUGUGGCAUCUCCUGGGAGCCUUCUGGGGUUCCCUGAGAGAAUUUGGUGNAUUUAAAGUUUUGUUAUUUUACUUUUUAUCAAAACUUUUUAUUAAAACUUUCCUGUUUCCGACACUG
rnacentral:lncRNA from 1 species